UUACUCAUCCCUAACUUUCUCCUAAAAUUAUGUAGAGACAAUUAUCACUAUGUCAUUCAAGUAAAGCUAUUUAUCAUUUUGCUCCUUUAGGAAUCUGCUCAAGUAUCCACUGAAAACAAUGAACUGACUAAGGAAGGAAGGAUCUACUUAAAGCACAUGGAAUCUACCAGCAUCUCCCAAGAAGAAUCUGCUGAAGUAUUCCCUGAGACGAAAACCAACCAGUUUCUCCAGAAGUUCACUGUCCCCCAGUAUGUCCAGGCUGUUCCCCUUGUAGUCUAUGAGCCUGUGGAAUCACAUUCAGGAAAACACCUACCCAUAUAUUCCCAUUUAGAAGAACAUGUAAGAUUCUUGAAUUAACUGCUGCAAUUUGAGCUUGAGUAUGACUAGAAAAAUCAUUCCUUUAUAAUUUCUUCAUCUACCACAUCACCUCCUACUAGCAAUAUAUUUUGGCAUGCUUCUUGAAAUGUCAACAGUAUUGAGCCAAAAGAAGACUGUGUGGAACAUUUUCCAUAUUGGUUAUGAUAUUUUUAAUUUGUGUUGGAUAUGCCAGAUCUGAAUUGUGGUAUCAUAUUUACUGUAUUGAUGAUUAAAUGAGGUCUUUUCUCCACUAUCUCUGAAAUAUAGAACUGUAUAUCAGUUGCCAAAACAUUAAAAUUUCAAACAAAGUUGUA
ensembl:lncRNA CSN1S2AP casein alpha s2 like A, pseudogene